rnacentral:lncRNA from 1 species
UUAGUGUAAAAGUUCCGAACGGCAGCGGUGAUCGGCACUGGGCCACCAGCGAAGAGUUGAUGGAGGUUGUCGGAGGUUGGGAGGUUGGGAGAGGUUAGGGUUUGACAGGGUGGGAAGAGGAGGUGUGAAAUUGGAAAUGAAGGGUUUGGGACUGCUGUGCAGAUUCGAAGGGCUGCAUUCUUUUUUUUCUUUUUUCUUUUUUAAAUAUUUAAACUGGCCUAAAACGAUGUCGU